AUUUGCCAUUAAACAUUUUGUAAGAUCCCCUUUCAGGGACCCCACUCUAGUCUCGGGAGUGUGAGAGCACCCAAAGAAACACGAGGACCC
rnacentral:pre_miRNA from 7 species